GAUGAACGCUGGCGGCGUGCCUAAUACAUGCAAGUCGAGCGAACGGACGAGAAGCUUGCUUCUCUGAUGUUAGCGGCGGACGUGUGAGUAACACGUGGAUAACCUACCUAUAAGACUGGGAUAACUUCGGGAAACCGGAGCUAAUACCGGAUGAUAUUUUGAUCCGCAUGGUUCAAAAGUGAAAGACGGUCUUGCUGUCACUUAUAGAUGGAUCCGCGCUGCAUUAGCUAGUUGGUAAGGUAACGGCUUACGAAGGCAACGAUGCAUAGCCGACCUGAGAGGGUGAUCGGCCACACUGGAACUGAGACACGGUCCAGACUCCUACGGGAGGCAGCAGUAGGGAAGCUUGCGCAAUGGGCGAAAGCCUGACGGAGCAACGCCGCGUGAGUGAUGAAGGUCUUCGGAUCGUAAAACUCUGUUAUGAGGGAAGAACAUAUGUGUAAGUAACUGUGCACAUGUUGACGGUACCUAAUCAGAAAGCCACGGCUAACUACGU
rnacentral:rRNA from 1 species